AUGCAAUGUAGCUUUAAAGUUGAACUUUUCCAGCAAACUGCUACUUGUGUGAAUGCCUGUUUGGGAGUUAGACUAAUCUUUCCCUACUGGAAAAAUAACCAACACUUACUACACCAUAGUUAUGAUUACAUCACAAUAAAUAUUCUAUGUAGGACUAGGAACAGUGCCUCAAAGAAAAAUGCUUGGGGAAUGGGUAAUUGGAAUGAACUACAAGCAUUUUCACUGAGCUCAAAGAAACUGCAAGAAAAAACAUCUUCGAUCUGCAUCCAAGUAUUUUUUUUUUCUCUGAAAGAACACUGUGUGAGGAAUUUUGACAUUCUCUGCAUUCUAAUGGAAAUGACUUAGAAAGUAGAGGCUUAUCUAUACAUUUGCCUCAUUGCUGCCACGAUGGGCACUGUUUAUCAGGAAUAAAGAGAGAAGAUCGAGAAGGUAGUUCUUUUCUGGAGAAUUUUAUGCUCUGGCUCUUAAGUACUUUUGCUUUGCCAUGAAUGUGAAUAUUUUAAAGGCCAAAAAAGCCCCCUGCAUUUGAGUUGCAGAUGGCCACAGGAACCCAACAAGAAUGCUAACAACUCAUUUUAAAAAGGGAAAAAGGAAAGGAAGUGCCAAGUUCCACACUGCAUGUCCAUACUGAUGUUGAGCCCAUCUUGGCCUAGCUGGUAGAACUGAAAAUUGAGAAUAAUAUUGAGGGGCUGCCAUGAUCCCUAAGGGUAAAAAUACACGUGUUUCUGAAAACAGCCACAUCGACAAUGAAAUAGACAUCAAAUAAGAUAACCCAAGAACGCAUUUGUUUUCCUUGUAACAGGGAUAUGUUAAGUUCAUUAUUCAGAGGACUUUGAUUACCCUUUUCAAAGAUUUUUGGGUGACAGUGAUCCAGGAUGAAGGUCCUUUGACUAUACAUUUCAGCGUUCAAUUUAGGGAGCUGAUGACCAAGGCUGAAUUCCCAGGGUAGCACAGUUCCAGCUGAGGACUGGCCAGUGGUAACCUGGACCCCAGCUUCCUCAACCACCAUGUAAGCUGGUGUUGUAGAGGUGUGUGUGUGUGUGUGUGUGUGUGUUUCUUGAAAACACUCCUAUUCAAAGCAAAGUCAGGUCAGCCUUAAAAGCAAGCUGACAAAAAGAACUAUAAAACCAGGGGUGGAUUACAUUUCAGAGUGCUUCCUUAAAUUACAACUAUCACUAACAGGCAUUAGUCAGCUAUUUCUAGUUUAACUAAAAAGUAAAAGGUAUAUUCAA